rnacentral:rRNA from 1 species
CGGAUGACCGUGUGCCUGUUGAAGAAUGAGCCGGCGACUUAUAGGCACUGGCGGGUUAAACCGGAAAUGGUGGAGCCAUAGCGAAAGCGAGUCUGAACAGGGCGUUUGUCAGUGUUUAUAGACCCGAACCCGGGUGAUCUAACCAUGGCCAGGAUGAAGCUUGGGUGAUACCAAGUGGAGGUCCGAACCGACUGAUGUUGAAAAAUCAGCGGAUGAGCUGUGGUUAGGGGUGAAAUGCCAAUCGAACCCGGAGCUAGCUGGUUCUCCCCGAAAUACGUUGAGGCGUAGCGUCUCGUGCUCCAGCAGGGGGGUAAAGCCACCAUUUCGGUGCGGGCUGCGAGAGCGGUACCAAAUCGAGAUGAACUCUGAAUACCCUGUGUGUAGCGAGGCAGUCAGACUGUGGGGGAUAAGCUCCAUGGUCGAGAGGGAAACAGCCCAGACCGCCAGCUAAGGUCCCCAAAUCAACGCUAAGUGAUAAAGGAGGUGGGAUUGCCCAGACAACCAGGAGGUUUGCCUAGAAGCAGCCAUCCUCAAAGGAGUGCGUAAUAGCUCACUGGUCGAGCGAUCCUGCGCCGAAAAUGAACGGGGCUAAGCGUUGUACCGAAGCUGCGGAUUUAUGGUAGGGGAGCGUUCCAUGUGGGGUGAAGCGUUAGCGUGAGCGGGCGUGGACUGCAUGGAAGUGAGAAUGUCGGCUUGAGUAGCGAAAACAUGGGUGAGAAUCCCAUGCACCGAAACCCUAAGGGUUCCUCCGGCAGGCUCGUCCGCGGAGGGUUAGUCUGGACCUAAGGCGAGGCCGAAAGGCGUAGUCGAUGGAUAACAGGUCAACAUUCCUGUACCGGUUAUGUUUUGGGAAGAGGGACGGAGAAGGCUAGCCAAGCCAGAUGUUGGUUACUGGUUCAAGCGUUCGAGGCGUUGAGGAUCGGCGAAAACGAUCCGAGCUGAGGCGUGAGUACGAGCUGCUACGGCAGCGAAGUUGGUGACGUCAUGCUUCCAAGAAAAGCUCUAUACCCGUUAAGGCAUAACUGCCAGUACCCGAAACCGACACAGGUGGGGUGGUAGAGAAUACCGAGGUGCGCGAGGUAACUCUCUCUAAGGAACUCGGCAAAAUGGCCCCGUAACUUCGGGAGAAGGGGUGCCAGCGCGAGCUGGUCGCAGUGAAGAGUCCCAGGCGACUGUUUACCAAAAACACAGGUCUCCGCUAAGUCGCAAGACGAUGUAUGGGGGCUGACGCCUGCCCAGUGCCGGAAGGUUAAGGAAGCCGGUCAGCGUAAGCGAAGCUGGCGACUGAAGCCCCGGUGAACGGCGGCCGUAACUAUAACGGUCCUAAGGUAGCGAAAUUCCUUGUCGGGUAAGUUCCGACCCGCACGAAAGGCGUAACGAUCUGGGAGCUGUCUCGGAGAGAGGCUCGGCGAAAUAGAAUUGUCUGUGAAGAUGCGGACUACAUACACCCGGACAGAAAGACCCUAUGAAGCUUUACUGUAGCUUGGUAUUGUGCCCGGGCUCUGAAUGCGCAGGAUAGGUGGGAGACGU